GAUGAACGCUGGCGGCGUGCCUAAUACAUGCAAGUAGAACGCUGAAGGAGGAGCUUGCUCUUCUGGAUGAGUUGCGAACGGGUGAGUAACGCGUAGGUAACCUGCCUGGUAGCGGGGGAUAACUAUUGGAAACGAUAGCUAAUACCGCAUGACAACAGUUAUUGCAUGAUAACUGUUUAAAAGGGGCAACUGCUCCACUACCAGAUGGACCUGCGUUGUAUUAGCUAGUUGGUGAGGUAACGGCUCACCAAGGCGACGAUACAUAGCCGACCUGAGAGGGUGAUCGGCCAACCUGGGACUGAGACACGGCCCAGACUCCUACGGGAGGCAGCAGUAGGGAAUCUUCGGCAAUGGACGGAAGUCUGACCGAGCAACGCCGCGUGAGUGAAGAAGGUUUUCGGAUCGUAAAGCUCUGUUGUAAGAGAAGAACGAGUGUGAGAGUGGAAAGUUCACACUGUGACGGUAUCUUACCAGAAAGGGACGGCUAACUACGUG
rnacentral:rRNA from 1 species